rnacentral:pre_miRNA from 1 species
UAAAUACUCCCUCCGUUCGGAAAUACUUGUCAAAGAAAUGGAUGUAUCUAGACGUAUUUUAGUUCUAGAUACAUCCACUUUUAUCCAUUUUUGCGACAAGUAUUUCCGGACGGAGGGAGUACAAG